GCAUUGGUGGUGUAGUAGUUAGCAUAGCUGCCUUCUAAGCAGUUGACCCGGGUUCGAUUCCCAGCCAAUGCU